AUGAAGAUCGGCAAGGCCCCGGCGCUCCUGAAGAAGGCAGCAGCUAUGUGCAAGAGCAAGACCGGCGUCUUCACGGCUAGGCUCCUCGUCCUCGCCGCGGUCCGUCGCAGGAUGGCCACAGUUGGCGCCAUUUCUCACAGGAUCCAUGCCCUCAUUGUGGCCGACUGGGAGAAGGGUGCCAAAGUGGACUACCACAAGGCUCUCAUGCUCCGCAAGGUCGAGAAGCUGAAGUACCAAGUCGGUGCGAUGGUCGAUCCGUCCCACCAUUUAGCAUUGUUUGAUCAAGAGGAUGGUGUUGGUGGCUGCCCUGACUGGACACUGCACCCCAUCUUCAGCGACGGUGACGAUUUCUGUUACACUGACGAGUACGACAGAGAUGAUGAUGACGGAGAUGAGCCCUCGGUGAUGAAUGCAAUAAGGAUCAACCAGGAGGCUGAUUUGGAAUUCAAUAUGGAUGACGAUAUUGACCUGGCUGCUGAAAUGUUCAUCAGAAGGUUCCGUGAGCAGAUGAACGAGAGCUUCUUAUGA
rnacentral:rRNA from 1 species